GUGAAUCAUCGAAUCUUUGAACGCACAUUGCGCCCGCCGGCAUCCCGGCGGGCAUGCCUGUUCGAGCGUCAUUUCAACCCUCAGGCCCCGCCUGGUGUUGGGGCUCCUGCGCACCGCAGGCCCUCAAAGGCAGCGGCGGGUGCGCCUACGAACCGAACGCAGUAGUUUCUUCUCGUUCUGGUCUUCGCGGGCGUGCUCCGGCCGUAAAACCCCUUAUACUCCAAUGGUUGACCUCGGAUCAGGUAGGAAUACCCGCUGAACUUAAGCAUAUCAAUAAGCGGAGGA
rnacentral:misc_RNA from 1 species